UGAUCUACCCAUGCCGCGUGUGUGAUGAAGGCCUUAGGGUCGUAAAGCACUUUCGCCAGAGAUGAUAAUGACAGUAUCUGGUAAAGANACCCCGGCUAACUCCGUGCCAGCAGCCGCGGUAAUACGGAGGGGGUNAGCGUUGUUCGGAAUUACUGGGCGUAAAGCGCACGUAGGCGGAUUAGUAAGUYAGAGGUGAAAUCCCAGGGCUCAACCCUGGAACUGCCUUUAAKACUGCUAGUCUUGAGUUCGAGAGAGGUAAGUGGAAUUCCGAGUGUAGAGGUGAAAUUCGUAGAUAUUCGGAGGAACACCAGUGGCGAAGGCGGCUYWCUGGCUCGAUACUGACGCUSAGGUGCGAAAGUGUGGGGAGCAAACASGAUUAGAUACCCUGGUAGUCCACACCGURAACGAUGAAUGCCAGACGUCAGCAAGUAUACUU
rnacentral:rRNA from 1 species